UACGUAGGUGGCAAGCGUUGUCCGGAUUUACUGGGCGUAAAGAGCGCGCAGGCGGUCGUUUAAGUCGAAUGUGAAAGCCCCCGGCUCAACUGGGGAGGGUCAUUCGAUACUGAUCGACUUGAAGGCAGGAGAGGGAAGUGGAAUUCCGGGUGUAGUGGUGAAAUGCGUAGAUAUCCGGAGGAACACCAGUGGCGAAGGCGACUUCCUGGCCUGUUCUUGACGCUGAGGCGCGAAAGCGGGGGGAGCAAACGGG
rnacentral:rRNA from 1 species